CGGCUAUAUAGAUUAUAGUUAAUGUAUUUCGGAUAUAAUGAUUACAGUCUAAACAUUAAUACAGAUCGAUAUUUUAUAUUUAAGUUGAAAAGUCCAGUUAUUUAACAAAUGUAUAGGCCGACUUGCUUUUCUAUAUUGAGUGUAUCCACUAGAUAAACCAAACGGGCUUCGUACAAGAGCCACCUUAAAACCCAGUUUCCUUCUGAUUAACGUAAUCGUUGUGUACUUCCAUUUGAUUGGUAUAUAAUUGACAAUCAUUUUCCUCCUUUCCCGUCCAGUUAGUUGAAUACAUGUACGUCGAUUCUUUAUUUUCUACUUGUUCAUAGUUCGCAUCAUCAUCGUCAGGAUUUUCAUAAAUAUCGUGUGAACUAUUUCUGUCUUUGCUUUUGUUCUCCAGGUUUGCCUUUGAUGAUUUGAGUCGACGAUUUUGACAAAUGAAAUAAGCAAGGAUAGCGAGUAAAAUUAUGACAAAAAUUGCUAAUACUAUAUAUAUUAAAGCAAGAUAUUUUCCAACAUCUUCUGCACCUAUGUGAAAAAUAAACAACGCG